rnacentral:rRNA from 1 species
AUUGAACGCUGGCGGCAUGCUUUACACAUGCAAGCCGAACGGUAACAGGGUGCUUGCACCGCUGACGAGUGGCGAACGGGUGAGUAAUGCGUCGGAACGUGCCGAGUAGUGGGGGAUAACGCAGCGAAAGUUGUGCUAAUACCGCAUACGUACUGAGGUAGAAAGUGGGGGACCUUCGGGCCUCACGCUAUUCGAGCGGCCGACGUCUGAUUAGCUAGUAGGUGAGGUAAAGGCUCACCUAGGCGACGAUCAGUAGCGGGUCUGAGAGGAUGAUCCACCACACUGGGACUGAGACACGGCCCAGACGCCUACGGGAGGCAGCAGUGGGGAAUUUUGGACAAUGGGCGAAAGCCUGAUCCAGCCAUGCCGCGUGUCUGAAGAAGGCCUUCGGGUUGUAAAGGACUUUUGUCAGGGAGGAAAUCCCUAGUGCUAAUAACACUGGGGGAUGACAGUACCUGAAGAAUAAGCACCGGCUAACUACGUGCCAGCCGCCGCCGUAA